rnacentral:rRNA from 1 species
GAUGAACGCUGGCGGCGUGCCUAAUACAUGCAAGUCGAGCGAACAGACGAGGAGCUUGCUCCUCUGACGUUAGCGGCGGACGGGUGAGUAACACGUGGAUAACCCACCUAUAAGACUGGGAUAACUUCGGGAAACCGGAGCUAAUACCGGAUAAUAUAUUGAACCGCAUGGUUCAAUAGUGAAAGACGGUUUUGCUGUCACUUAUAGAUGGAUCCGCGCCGCAUUAGCUAGUUGGUAAGGUAACGGCUUACCAAGGCAACGAUGCGUAGCCGACCUGAGAGGGUGAUCGGCCACACUGGAACUGAGACACGGUCCAGACUCCUACGGGAGGCAGCAGUAGGGAAUCUUCCGCAGUGGGCGAAAGCCUGACGGAGCAACGCCGCGUGAGUGAUGAAGGUCUUCGGAUCGUAAAACUCUGUUAUUAGGGAAGAACAAAUGUGUAAGUAACUAUGCACGUCUUGACGGUACCUAAUCAGAAAGCCACGGCUAACUACGU